rnacentral:rRNA from 1 species
ACCGGAAACGGUAGCUAAUACCCGAUACAUCCUUUUCCUGCAUGGGAGAAGGAGGAAAGGCGGAGCAAUCUGUCACUUGUGGAUGGGCCUGCGGCGCAUUAGCUAGUUGGUGGGGUAAAGGCCUACCAAGGCGACGAUGCGUAGCCGACCUGAGAGGGUGAUCGGCCACACUGGGACUGAGACACGGCCCAGACUCCUACGGGAGGCAGCAGUAGGGAAUCUUCCGCAAUGGGCGAAAGCCUGACGGAGCAACGCCGCGUGAGUGAUGAAGGUUUUCGGAUCGUAAAGCUCUGUUGCCAGGGAAGAACGUCUUGUAGAGUAACUGCUACAAGAGUGACGGUACCUGAGAAGAAAGCCCCGGCUAACUACGUGCCAGCAGCCGCGGUAAUACGUAGGGGGCAAGCGUUGUCCGGAAUUAUUGGGCGUAAAGCGCGCGCAGGCGGCUCUUUAAGUCUGGUGUUUAAUCCCGAGGCUCAACUUCGCGUCGCACUGGAAAACUGGGAGAGCUUGAGUGCAGAAGAGGAGAGUGGAAUUCCACGUGUAGCGGUGAAAUGCGUAGAGAUGUGGAGGAACCACCAGGUGGCGAAGCGACUCUCUGGGCUGUAACUGACGCU